GAUGAAGAACGUAGCGAAAUGCGAUAAGUAAUGCGAAUUGCAGAAUUCAGUGAGUCAUCGAAUCUUUGAACGCACAUUGCGCCCUGUGGUAUUCCGGGGGGCAUGCCUCUUCCAGCGUCAUUUCACCCCUCAAGCUCUGCUUGGUUUUGGGCCGCGCCGGCAACGGCGGGCCUCGAAAAUAGUGGCGACGCCAUCGUGCUCUCAGCGUAGUAAUUCUUCUCGCUGUUGGGUCCCGGUGGUCGUCCGCCAGCAACCCCCAACUUUCUUAAGUUUGACCUGGGAUGAGGUAGGGAUACCCGCUGAACUUAAGCAUAUCAAUAAGCGGAGGA
rnacentral:misc_RNA from 1 species